AGGCGAGGCCGACAGGCGUAGUCGAUGGAUGACGGGUUGAUAUUCCCGUACCGGUCUGGUACCGACCGUGCUGACGUGCGGGUGCUAACCCACGCUGUCGGCCGUGGUGUCCUGCCGGGUGCCUUCGGGUGCCCUGGUGGGUCCGUGGCGGGUGGUCUGGGGGUCCUCCGUGCUGGUAGGCAAGCGUGUUAACAGGGGUGACGCACAGUGGUAGCCCGGCGGGUCUGAUGGCUUGGCCCGUUCAAGCGUGCGGCCCGGUCCCCAGGCAAGUCCGGGGGCCUGCCCCCACCGCCUGCUGGUGGUGGGGGUGUGGGUGAGGCGUGAUGGUGACCCUGCCUGUUGGGGUGGGGGAUAUCAGGGUGAUCCUGGGGUGCCGAGAAAAGCCCCGACGCGAUGGUGCGGGCCGCCCGUACCCGAGACCGACACAGGUGGUCCGGCAGAGUAUGCCUAGGCGAGCGAGCUAACCGUGGUGAAGGAACUCGGCAAACUGCCCCCGUAACUUCGGGAGAAGGGGGGCCCGGGCCCUGAAGCAGCGUGCCUGCUAGGGGUGAGGGCCGCAGAGAGCAGGGGGGAGCGACUGUUUACUAAAAACACAGGUCCGUGCGAAGCCGCAAGGCGAUGUAUACGGACUGACGCCUGCCCGGUGCUGGAAGGUCAAGAGGAUCCCUCAGCCCCCGCGUGGGGUGAAGGGGUGAGUCCAAGCCCCAGUAAACGGCGGUGGUAACUAUAACCAUCCUAAGGUAGCGAAAUUCCUUGUCGGGUAAGUUCCGACCUGCACGAAUGGCGUAACGACUUCCCCGCUGUCUCCACCACGGGCUCGGCGAAAUUGCACUACGAGUAAAGAUGCUCGUUACGCGCAGAAGGACGGAAAGACCCCGGGACCUUUACUACAGCUUGGUACUGGCGUCCGCCGCGGCCUGUGCAGGAUAGGUGGGAGACCGUGAGGCCGUCGCGUCAGCGGCGGCGGAGUCGUUGUUGAGAUACCACUCUGGCCGUGGCGUGCGCCUGAACCUCGGCCCGUGACCCGGGUCAGGGACAGUGCCUGGUGGGUAGUUUAACUGGGGCGGUUGCCUCCUAAAAGGUAACGGAGGCGCUCAAAGGUCCCCUCAGCCUGGUCGGCAACCAGGUGGCGAGUGCAAGUGCACAAGGGGGCUUGACUGCGAGACCGACGGGUCGGGCAGGUGCGAAAGCAGGAACUAGUGAUCCGGCGGCUCCGUGUGGACGGGCCGUCGCUCAACGGAUAAAAGGUACCCCGGGGAUAACAGGCUGAUCCUGCCCAAGAGUCCAUAUCGACGGCAUGGUUUGGCACCUCGAUGUCGGCUCGUCGCAUCCUGGGGCUGGAGCAGGUCCCAAGGGUUGGGCUGUUCGCCCAUUAAAGCGGUACGCGAGCUGGGUUUAGAACGUCGUGAGACAGUUCGGUCCCUAUCCUCUGCGCGCGCAGGAGACUUGAGAAGACCUGUCCCCAGUACGAGAGGACCGGGACGGACGAACCUCUAGUGCGCCAGCUGUCCCGCCAGGGGCACCACUGGUUGGCCACGUUCGGACACGGGUAACCGCUGAAAGCAUCUAAGCGGGAAACCACCUUCAAGACCAGGUCUCCGC
rnacentral:rRNA from 1 species